CAUUAUUAAUCAUUAUAAUUAUUAAGCGUAAUAUUGCAUUAUUGUAUUAUUAAUAAGAUUAAAAUAAUUUAAUUCUGGCUUAGUAUUAUAGGUGAGUUACGACUGGAAGUUAUAUUUCGCAAGAUAUGUAUCCUGAAAUCUCGAGGUCUCGAUUUGAAACAUGGUUCGAGAGUAGUCGGAUAUCGGAAUUCGAUGGAAUUUUGUUUCGCGAAACAGUCUUACAAUUAGCGUAAAGCAGCGAUAUACCAAAUGGCACUCCGCGCUACGUUCUUAAUCACGUGACUCAUACAGAACCGAUGCCAUUACUUACUACGGGAAAGAAUUGCUUGACGUCAGUUUCGGUAUAGUAUGCGAUUUGUUCAACUUUUACAAUUACUCUCCAUGAUUGUUCGUGACUUAAACCAAAAUAAAACGAAAACCUCGAAAUUCGUCCGCAUAGACUGGGAAUUCGUCGAGGCGUGAAAAACUUAAUUAAAAUUUACUACGGUCAAAAGUAGAAUUAAAUGAAUUAAUCGAAGCUUCGGCUUUCCUCAUUCCUUUAUUUGGAAACGAAAACGUAGGGGAAAACCAGUAAAACUUUCCCGUAGAAGCUAAAAUCUACAUUUAACCGUCUCUCUUGUUUAUGCGGCAUUGUUACGUUAAUUCAUUUGGUCUUUUACAAAUUUCAUUCGUAAAUUAAAGUCGAAAGAUUCAUGUACAUGGAAAAAUAUAUAUAUGUCGGAGAUGUAGGGACAUUGGGCCUUUCUUUUGGAAUUUUCGGAAGAUCCCCAAUACUUUGAUCUAAACUAUUUAUUAUAGCUGUACUUAAAUAAUAGAACUUAGAGGUAGUUGUUGUGAUACGAUCUGAUUAUGUUUGCCCGAGAUUUGUGAUAGUGGGCUUGGGUUCGAGGUGAUACAGUUGGUCGCCGAACGUAGCCACGGUCACGGGAUGAACGUUUUUACUUAACAGUAGAAGUACCAAUAUUGAGGGACACACGCUGUAUUACCAACAAGCCCCGGGCAGGAGCAAUGACGGCUCUACGCAGGUCAGCCUAGUAACGGCGCCUGGAAUUUUGUUGAUAUCCCCGGUCAAUAUGCAAAUGACAAAUGUGAUCGUAUCAGUCUUUUAUUCUUGUGAUCACCUUGGAGAGUUUACACGCAUCGUUUUGUCUGUCAGUCAGAAAGAUACCGUGCGUCACAGCUAACGGCACUUUGUGUUUCAAAACAUAUUCAAUUGUACAAAGAGUUUUCCCGUUGACCGUGGAUUCGUUAUUGAACCUAAGAACAUUGUCUUUACAUUAAGAGCGUCUAAUUACCACGAUUAAUUGUUAAACCCUGUUAAAUCAGUAUUUGUACAUAUAAUUGUAAAUAUAAUCUCCAUUGAACAACUACGAUGGUUUGUCCUAAUGAGGAUACGCAACGAGCCCCUAAGACUAACGCCAACCCGACAUAUAUAUAUACGCGAUUUAAUGCUUUUUGACUACAAAAAAUCGUCCGAGAACAGUCGUUCAUAUUGAAACGUCGAUUUAUUUUUUUGAAGUAUGAAAAAAAAAAUACACGUCGCCCUUUGAAAAUCGGCGUUACGCUUGGAACGGUAACACGACUUACCGGCUGUGAUUUAGCGGCUAGUUGGUUUCGUUUGGCAAGUACACGCGGCGUUCGUUAGUUUGCGCAUCUACGUUUCUCUCACCCUCUAUCGGUCUGUGUUUCUCAUUGUUCUGAACCUGUGUUGAUCAGUUCACAUAGCAUAACCGAGGCUUGUCGAUGCGAACACAGAAUUUCAUAGAACGAACGCUUUCGAGAGAUCGGGUUUUAUCCUCGAUCAAUAAAAAGUCGAUAUAUGUAUGUGAUAAUAACGUACGGUUAAUAAUUGGAUCUAUGGUUGAACCAUCAAGAAGAUGGUGUAAUCACGUUUCUUGUUUGGAGAAAUAUGAUAUGAUUAACGUUAUGUAUGCCGCUGAAAUGUAUUCUUCACUGUAAGGUACAACAAUUAUAUAUAUAUAUAUAUAUAUUUUAUUAUAUUAAUAACAGGAACAAUGGAAAAGAGUAACAUUUUUUAAAGAUUAAUUAAUAGCAGAGAUUAAGUCUGUUCGAAUUUUAUAUACUGAAUUGAAUACACUGAAUUUAGUGUGUCAUGGAAUAGAUAUUCGUUCGAGCAAAGAAAAACCACCCGGAAAUGUAACAAACCGUCUAAUUCGCGUAGCCAUAUAUGACAGCUUUUACACCGUGCAAACCGGCUGUUUAGUGUGUCGCGCAUGUUUCUCGAAUAAAAACGGCGAUGAAAACCGCAUCCUGGAAGAACGUCUUUUGGAAUUGCUGUGGAACAAAAGCACGCUUUACACAUCCUCGUAAAAAUGCAGACACGUAGAUCGUUUAAACCGUACGAACGCACAAUUGCUUAUCCACGGAGGUUCGCAAGAUACUCUUGGGUCGAUCGUCGAUAAAACCUCAAUUUCUCAUAGGAAGACUAAUUUCAGUUCGCAUGAAAAACUACCCCGACAGUUCGGUUCCACGAAAAUACAUGAGAAGUUCCAAUAAAAAAAAGAGCGAGCGAGCGAGUGAGAGAGAGAGAGAGAGAGAGAGAGAGAGAGAGAGAGAGAAACGACCACACGCGAACCGGUGGUAGCAGAUGCACGAGAAGAUGGAUUCCCGUUAAAAACGGCCGAUAUCGUCAAAAAUAAUGGCGUGGAAGGAACGCAUUUUGGCACGACGGACACAAUAGAUACCGUGGAAUGGAUUCGAGCCAGAGAGAAUGAUAACACUUAAACAAAUUUUGCCUGCCUUAUCUUGUCGUAUAUUAUUCGAGUUCCAAAACAUGGGGAUUAUACCGGACCCUUUCUGUCUUAAGUAUGGUAGCACCAUAUUAACUGGUUUAUGACUAUUACUCUGUCAGUAAUUAAUUAUUGUAGUCAAAUGUAUCAAGUAAUUGUACGUCCAACCACCCAAUGAAGAAGAAAGAAGCUAUGAAUUUUCUAAAAAUAUACUUCUCUUAAUAACUGACCACACAAAAAAGCUGGUCCCAUGACUAGUUAGGAAAUCAGUGUUGUAUGUUCUUUGUGACACCUAAGCAGAAACGACCGUAGACAGCAACUAGUCGGUAAUGUCGUUACUCGCAAUUAUCGUGAUAACUGUGCUUUCUUCCAAUAGCCGGCGCUUUUUGCACAGUGAUUGCGAGUCGUGCCAGACCCAAACGCACACGAUGACGCUCGCCUUCUAUAUAUAUAAUGCACGUGCUACACGCUGGCACCGACCAGCUGGUCAGAAUCGGGACGAGCAGGCCAAGUAGUCGAGUCACGCGAGGAAUUCAGCUUUGCAACGCAACGAGCGCGCGCGGGGCGCACACAUACAUAUACACAGUCAAUGCACCGCGGGGAUUAGCAGCGUUCACUUUCACGUGCAAUUAUCUGCCUUUACGAGCUUGUCUCCCGGGAAGCAUUAUCGCGCGAGGGAGCGAGAGUCCUCUUGUUCCUCGUCCGUAGGGCGGACAAAGACGAGCAGGCAGACGGUUCUCAGUCGAGAUCCGGCUGGUGGGCGAGAAAUUUUCCAAUUCUACUUUGUUAGUCGUAACAGGUUGUUCUCUCGUGAGAUCGAAGCGUUUACACGCGAUCGUUGCUUUAUACCCGUGCAACACGAGCGCCUUGGGAAUUUUUGUUUGAAAGAAUGCAAGCGCGAGAUAUAUGCCGAUAUAUACAUAUAUACAUACAUAAAGUAAGUGCUUUUCGAGAAUGCGCCAUUAAUGUUAAACCGAGUGUUUGUAAAGAAAUUCUUCAGGACUGUUCUUUCUAUACAUUUAUUCUUUCUAUACAUUAUUUCGUUUUGAUUUAUGUGUCCUCUUCUUUUAUCUCCCCUUUUCAACUAUAAAGUUAUGCUAGAGGUUGUUAGUUAUAAAAUCUUGGUGGCGCUCAUGGUUGAUAAAAAAGAGCUUACCAUUAAAAGUUGUGUAUAUAGAUUUCUAUUGUGGUAGAAAUUUCUUUCUGCUCCAUGAUAACGCAGAACAACUUAGUAAUACAGUCUCCUAAAAACUUCCAAUUGGGCUACGAACUUCUUCCUUAUCCCUGUUCACUUCUCGACUUCCUCGCACAGAUUACCAUCUAUUUAGAAGUCCCGUCCGGUUUUUCAAAAAAAAAAAAAAAGAAAAAAAGAAUGAAAAUAAAGAAGAGAAAAAGAAGAACGUGAAGCCGGACUGAUUAACUAAGGGACUAUACUCUUUGAAUCCAAGAUUAAAAAACUUUCUCUCACGCUUACGGAAAUGUACAGAAGUGUCCUCUGGCAAACAAAACCGUGCAGAUGGAAAAUAUUAUAUUUCCGAAAUUAUUAUGAAAAAACAAACAGGGAGGAGAAAGAAACGUACGCGUAUCAACGAUAGGACAAGAGUUGGUGAAACUCGAGUGGUAAACAGCUUCCGAACUCCGCGCCUCUACCGUAAUACCAUAGUGUCGUGUUUCAGAUUGAAAUUCCCUAGAAACGACAGAUUGCCAUUUCGCGAAACAAACACGAAUCCUGCUAAUUGGCAAUUUCGCUUUCUCUAACAUAAACUUCCGCAACUACGGAUAUUCAUGAAGACGUAACCGUUUUCAUUUUCGUUAUCAUUUCAUCUCGACUUAUUUCCAUCUUCGUCGUUGCUGGCUUCAUCUCUCUCUUAUUUUAUCUACAGUUAACGUUCUUCUCUCUCUCUCUCUCUCUCUCUCUCUCUUUCUGCACGGUUAACGUCCGUUUUUUAACUAUGCCAUCUCCUUCGUUCUCCGUUGUAUUUGCAAUGCAUACCGGGACUCGUGCUACCCAUGGAAGAUUAUCCCUGGGGCAUAAUAAAAAUUUUUCCUUCCAGAUGCUACCAGACAAAAUUUCCUUCGUAAUGGAAGUCACUCUAUUAUCUUACCUCGGAUAAUUAGGUCGAACCGCUCUAGGUAUUUUUUCCCCCAGCGUUUUCUCCCCCACUCUUGGCCGCUUAACGCGGACACGGCGUUGCAGCGGGGAUAAAUUCAGAUGUGAAUUAAUGUGAGAAGAAAACUUAAUGGAGGUAGCUCAGGUGGAUCGAACGGCGGAUUACUUUCGCGGGGAAAUAUAAAAUUACGUGGAAAUUCGUUUGACGUUUUGUUUUAUCAGACGUUGAUCUCUAAUUUUUCACCGGCCAGCGACGUUACAACUCGGAAAGUAAAAUCAUUCUCCGACUUUCCGCUGCUUACUUUUGCCAGUAUUUUUUUAAAUUAUUAUGUAAAUUUCUUUCAUCUUAUUUCAAGACGACCGAGAGAACGGAGAAAAUUUUCAAGAAAACAUCGCGAAAAAUGUAACUACGUUCGAUGAAUUUCAUCAGUUUGUUAUCAUUGCUUGUACGAAAAUAAAUCCGAAAUACUAGCUUGCUUCGUGUUUUCGCGGUCUACGAACUUGUUUGCAGUUCGCGCAGUUGUUUGUACAGUGAGUCUGCAAACGAUCACCUGGCAUUCGAAAUACGUACUUUUUAUUCCAUGAAUAUUGCGUACAUCCCAGAAAUUGCAAGCCACGCAUUUCAAAUCUCCUCUAUUAUUUUCAUCCAAGUGUAACAUACGUCAAAAUAAAAAUGUUUUACCAUUUCAUCUUUACUUUAAUUUUGCUGCGAUCUUUUUGCGAAUUUUCAAUCUCGCUUCCGUUUUACUAAACAAAAAGCAUUUAUGAUGUUUUAAAACAUUUAAAAUGAUAUAUAACAAAACAAAAGCUAGAAAUCAUUCAUAGCAAUAACAAUUGCUGAUGUUCUGCUCAAAUUUGACAUAUUUUUAAUAUUAUAAAGAUAUAAUUGAGUUAAAAAUGUCUGGAUGAACGCAGCAAGGUUAGUAGCAAUGAGGUUUGAUUUAAAUGUCAAAUUUAAUUGAAAUUUUUAGGGGUUAUUUAAUCAUCGUGACGUAAGUUGCAUCUAGUACACAAAUCAUCUCUACAAACCUGCAAAUUGAAAAUAUCACUAGCCUGCGAGUGCCACUCGUAAAUUAACGCGGAUGAAAACGCCGCAUUUAUUACUUUGAUUUACCCGGCGAACUGUCAUGAGAUAAUACUUGAGCGCUAACGCUCCAAUUAUCUCAGACACGGGUACAAACAAAUUGUCCGAAACGUUUGUCGUAGUAAUUACGUGAUACAAUUUCACAGUAGACGAAACGUGUUCCGCGCUGCUACCGAUCUAAAGCGGUUAACUACGAAAGAACAGAAAGAUAACGUCGGCGUGGUCCGCGCACGAACCUUUGUAGAACUUUAUGCUAUCUGGUGCCACGCCCAGUUUUGCGUGUGGAUAGCGUUGGAAAAAAGCACACCGGCAGGAAAAACUGGAGAAAUCGAGAGAGACGCUGCGCGGAAAAAGUGUGACACCUUAACGGCCCUCUAUGUCCGUGACAUUAGACGAAUUAGGUUAGGAAUAGCGCUUAGCACUUCGACCGCGAUCGAUAGGGUUAUAUCGAACGAGAUUUGACGAAGCUUAGAGCCAUCUACUACGUUCUCUAUUAAUUAAACAAGACAGGGGUGCAGUGCAGCUUCUAUCUAUCGAAGUGUGAAAACUGCAUUCUAAAAAAAUUUUGUGCGGUUGACCGACACAAAUCUACCCGUCAACGAUCGAUACAAUAUUAAAAAGAAAAGGAGAAAAAAGCCGAAGAGAAGAAAAUACCGGACGCAGUUUUAAUUAGAAAAUGUGUUAAAUAAUUAAUUGCAGUUUACUGAAUUUUCCCAAUUUUGGUUGUUUGAUUCUAGUUUCUAACAUUCUAAAGUUUUAACAAUUUCUCCUUAUUUCGUAAAAAAGGACGGGAGUGAAAUACAUAUUCAAAAUUGGGAAGAAUCGUUAGAUUGCACAAUUACUAUGAACGAAAAUCUUCUAUAUGUGGAAAUAUGAAAUCAAUUUAUAAAUUACACAUGAUAUAUCGAAAUAACGACUCUUAUUAUCGUACGAAUUAUCGUUAAACAAUAUAUCGGAAGUUAUAACGAGAAUCCUUUAUUCAUUUGUUACAAUUGUAAAAAAUGUUCUCGUUAAUAACUUCCUCGUUCAUAACAAAAUAUUUUGCAAUAUAGAAGAUGACAUAUGAACUAACCUAAAGUUCGCAGUGCGUUCUUGUUUUACUUGCGCUUCGCAUAACCUAUCGCUUAUGCUGUUUAAAUCAGGAACGUAUGCAUUCUUUCAGCCAAUUAAAAGAUAGUUAAGUAGCGGUAGUUAUGUCGGGCCAGAACGAGUGACAAUAUCAGAAAUACGUUGAUAAUUUCGUUUUUCCGUCGAGUGAUACACCAGGUGGAGAUAAUUAAUUACACCUGGAAAUAAUUAACUGCGCCAUUGCAACUGCGCUCUAAUGAAUUCACGGUACAUUUACUUUCGCAACGAAUUAUUUCCCUUUAGCAAAGGAAGAGGAAGGGAACUGAGGCGGGAGGAGAUGAAGGAGGAGGUGGGGGAUACUAUGGCAAAAGGCGUCGCUUCUUUUGAAAAACAAAGGCGCCGCAACGGACGCGCGAUACACAAUGGCACGAAGCUCGUCUGAGUAAUAAAAUUAAACUCACUUCAAUUUAAACUCUCCUUUGUAAACUUUCGCGAAAUGAUUUUAAAGCACCGCGCCGCAAGAAUCAUCGUAAUCGCGCCGCGGAAAACAAAGCAUCCUUUCUCUCUUUUCGUCCGGCUCACUCGCUUCCUCUAUCACUCGUUCUUCCCUAUCAACACUCGUUGUUCUUUUACCUUCGUUUCUGUAAAUCGGUCCAGAUGCUACAGACGUUCCUUUUUUCGUUGCUAAACCAUUGCGAUCAGAGUUAAUUGAGAAGCGAACGUUCAAAGGAAAAUUGUUACUUUUCUCUUACGUGAUUGUUACGUUUGUCGUUCAUGAUUUCAAUUUGUCUGAAAGUAUUAGGAAUUUGAUAAACAUAGAUCCUGUGAAAAGAAAAGAUGGGAGAAGAAGAAGCAAACGAAGCUGAGGCAGAGGUAAUAUUUUAAUCUGUGUAAUGAUUUCACCGAAUACUCGGGGAACAGGAAGCCUGUCGUCAUUGAUUGUACGUGACAAGUGGAAUUUUAUUAUCCUAUCUUUAUUACAUGAGACGUAUCAUUACGCAAGCCUCAUCAAUCGGCACCACUACUUGGUUCUUUAAUUCGAAGAUUUCACUAUAUCUUGAAAUCUAUUAGAGACUGGCGGUCGUGCAUAAUUUAUGUACAUCUUAUUACAUUUUGUCAUUGGUAACUUUAUACUUUAAUACUGAAGUUUCUUCAAAUCUCAAGAUAUCUUGGAGAUUUAAAUAUUUUCGUUUGAGGGCAGAUUAACAUUACACUUACUGUCACACUUUGUUUCUUUAUUGCUGCAAUCGUUGGUUUCUUCUCACUGCAUCUUUUUAAGUCUUAUAGUUUCCCUUUUGGUUUUUUUCCUUGCUGUCGGUAUCUCAUAUUUGAUCGCAGUGUGCUACUUUUGUUACCAUUGUAAUCCUUCCUUGAUAUCUUUGUGUCUUUUUAUUGCAGAAUUGCACAAGCAAUUUCACUUAUGUGAGAUUUCUCUCACAGUAGGAUUGUUUCCCCGAAUGUAGAAAUUUUUCUAAGUUCCAAUUUCAUCACGAUAGAGUGUACCCCAGGAAGUUAUUGCCGAAGGGAAGUCCGUUGGAUGAUAGGUUAUUUUCCACCGCUGAUUCGAGAUGGACAUUGUACAGAAAUAGCUGGAACUGAAAGAGACGCUCUCCCUCUCCUCAGAUACGUUCAUGGUAGUUAAGGUCGUUGACAGGAACAAUUUUGGAGACGGUGGUCGAUAAUGACCGUUAUUUAAUCACCGCAUAGUUGCUUGUGGUAGCUUAUUGACCAAAGGAAUAGUUUUGAUAAUAUAGGCUAGUUUAGGACACCUCGGCACUAGUCGACACUUAUUUGAUCACACAGAGAAUCCGAAUAUGAAAUUGAUGAGAUAGAAAUCUUUCGUUAAAAGUAUUUGUAUGUCCACUCAUAUUUGGAAGAAUCUUAACAAUUUACCAUAACAACACACGCAAUCGAAUAUUCUUUAAGAAGAUACAUAAAUAUGUGUUUUAAUGUCUUCCUAAUUGGCAACAAGAUGCGAGCAACUCUGAGAAAUAUACGGUAUUAAAUUUAAAGGAGUGCUAACAAUUUAUUGUACUAAUACACACAGUCGAAUAUUUCCUAAUAAGAUAUAAUAAGUACUUCAGUGCCUUUCUAAUUGGCAGCAAGAUUCAACCAAGCCUGGCUAUUAAUAAGAGAGUCUAUAUCAAGAAUUUUAUUCUAUCUUGGUGUGAAAUGGGUAGAAAUGGAUAGAGGGGAGUGAAACAAUGAUACCUGACACCCAACCCGAGAUAUACUCGGCGUUCUGAAAUCGAUACUCUAUAUAAAAACAAUUGAAUGUGGAGAGACAGACUCUGGCCAACUGAAAUGAAAGAAAUACAUACAUAUGUAUCACUGUACCAUGUAUAAGUUCCUCUCCAUUGAAGAUAUUUCCAGCAGAUAAAAAUAGAUAGGAAUAUUCAUUAGCAGAAAGGUGAGCAGUCACUGUAUGUAUAAUAGUAAGUAUUACAUUUACUGAUUUCACAUUCUAAUUCUAACCUAUCAUUUCACACACUACAUCAUUUGAGUUCAUAUACUUCUAUGCUCUAGUGAACAAAUUGACAACAUCAAUCAAUCAAUCAUUCGAGUUCAUACACUUCUAUGGUAUAGUGAACAAAUUGACAACAUCCAAAUGUUCAGUUGCAUCUGCGAGUCCAAAAUUGCAGUCGAGUUUGAAGAACAUAUAUGUAAGUAACUUAACCUCUUUCCAGCGAAUGAAAAAGGUACAAUACACUAUGUACAGUCAGGGAAGUUAUUGCAUCAACCGGUAUCGGUAUAAAUACUUUAAUUUAGAACUAUGUUAUAUUGUGGAGUCUACUACAACGGUUUAUCCGGCCGUAUAUGUUACCGUACGUGUCCAAGAAGACAUAGGAUCACUAUGUCGUAAUCCUCUUCCCAUCGACACGAAAAUGCGACACUGAUUGGAGAAGUUGACGUAAAAGCGCCUCGUUACGCACAAGGAGCCUUUUAACAGGGUCACGCCAGAUUACCUCGUUUAUUUAUAGGCCGACGAAAAAAUUGAUCGCGACACCGAUCGAACGACCCAGCUUUGAACUUUCGAACCGGACAAUAUCUUUAUAGUUUGGCUUACAGUUGACCAGUCUUCCCUCGACUAAUGAGGUCUUAACCUAACUUUCAUUGCCUGUACGAGUAACGUUAAUUGACGGGAAACAUAAUUUCCAUCCUCUGUGAAAAGGUUAACGUGUCGAAUGAAUUUCCGGUCUUUACGAGAAAUUUAGGAAUCCAGAAAUUUUUUCGUAGUUUACUCGGAGAAGUUGAUACGACCGGUUCCUACGUUUCCGGUACACGUAGUAAGAGAGGAAACGAUAAAAGGGUAUGGCGGUACAGUUGCGCGCUACGUGAGUUUAGUUCGGAAAGUUUUAUCGGUCAAAGUUGCUGGAUACUGAGGAUUUCGAAAUUCGAUUCUCUCAACUCGGGAGAGAACCCGCUAUCCGUAAAACGAAUGAUUGUUUAACAUGGAUUAUUAACGAUCUGCCUGACGAUAGAACGAUAGAAAUUCAAGAAGAAAAUUUCCAUUUUCUUCGUAUGUAAACGAACCAUAUUCUCAUUUUGCUUAUAUCGGAGAAAAACAAAAGAACCAUUAUUCGUGUAAUGACCCACAUUUAACUAGGAGGUUGGCAUAUUUCAUUGAUGGCCGGAAAGCUGAUACGGUUUAACCGGUUUCAGCGCGUAGCACGCGCCAAUAAAGUAUACACAGUCGCUGUGCGUAACAGUAGCUUUUAAUAAUUACACCAACAAGACAAAUUUAAUAUUAACCGUGAAACAGGUUCUUGUGUACCUGUGAAUGCUGUUUACACACGCUUUUCUUGUAUUAAAAUGGAUCUUUCAAUUAUUCGAAGGAUAAAAUCUGACAUUCCGAAGAAAUAUAAUCUAAUGGCAUUUCUCUUUGCACGAGCAUUCCUGCAAAUGAUUAUCGACCGAGUCAUAAAUCUUUGUAAAAAUGGGCGGGGACCAUUUCAUUUGUGGCACAUUUUACGAGAGACCUCUACAAUCCCUACGGAGGGAACGGCAAACCAUUUGCGGAUCGUUUCAUUCGAAUCGUCGCCGACGGUGCCUCUCUAUUGGAUAAGCAAUUGCAAGUGCAAACAUUUGCUCGCAAUCAUUUAUGCUCGCUGGUGUGGGCAUCAUGAGUGAAUGUCUCACCAGCGUUGGCUUUCGCUGAAUCUUGACUGGAAAUUGCGUUUGAACUGAGAAUGUUUACCGAUGUUACAUUCAUUGUUCACAGAACCAUUAUCAAAAGGUAGAAUAAUCUCCAUGGGAUAUCUGCAUAACCAAGAUACAGGAAGAUGUACAACUGAAGUAGGUUAGGAAUAUGCUUCCACUAACCUAUAUUCUCUCAUGGUCUCGCUCGUCCAGUGGAAAAGCAUCAUUACGUUCCGAAGCGUUCGUCGUACAAUGUCACCAACGCUGUCACGAUUCUCAUGCACACAUGCGUAAUUACUCCGGUGACUGAAGCACGUCAAUUCGGGCUGCACUACACGUAGCAUUAAAACUCUCAUGGCGCGGCGUAGGUUUGGCCGUUAGUUUGUAAAACCGCGAAACGUGGUGUGAGCAACAUACGAGUCGAUACAUGCAAGCUUUACCGGGUAUAAAAAAAAUCCAUUGCAUUUUACUUAACUUUUUCAGUGGCCACCGACAAGUUUUAUUAAACCGUCGUUCGCAUUUUUACGGAGGGGAAGGAUAUAUACGUAGACCGACGAACGAAUAGCUCUUUUCGCGAGGCAUUAUAUGCGUUCCCGCCUCGAUUUACCAGCUGCUCAGGGAGUUAGACGAAAGUUGAACGAGAAUCAGGCCUAUACAUAAUACGAGGACCGUUGUAUAACGCGUUGGCGUUGCCAUCGCGUCUAAAGCUCAAAAACACGUUACUUCAGAAUCCAUCUCCUUACAGCUUUAUGCAGCAUUUACAAGACAAGUAGCGCACUCGCGCGAUUUACCCAGACGAAAAUCACUUAAGCUUCUUUUGUCCGCGCUGUUUCAGCGGUUCAAACGUAUACUUGAAAAUAUAUAUUUUCAACGGAUCUGACGCGCAUUUAAAUGUACCAUUCGGUCGAUAUAAAAAUGCGUUUCGAUUACAAGCAAACAGACAGACUUGGCUAGAACUAUUUACGAUUCGCGCUAAUAUUAUGGAAUAAAUAAUUGUGGAAACAUUUACCUUUGGGAACGUUGUUUCCGAUAAAUGAUUCACUGCGCGAGCGCCACAAAUAUUUGCUAUUCGUCCACAUUUUCAAUUAACACUAUUUUAUGUUGCACGCGCAUUUUAAAAGUGGCAAUUCAAACAGGGUUUCCAGGAAAACGAAAAACUAUUCGGAAGCUUACAAAAAUGAUUUGCAAUAAAUACACGAUGUUGGCAAAAAAAUAUGGAUUCUACGAAGCAACGAUCAAAUAUUAUUUUUGUAAUCCUCCAUUACUCUAACACAGAAUUGAAGUAUUUCGAGUCGUGACACUUUUGAGACACGUAUAAAGAUGUAUUUCUUCACGAACUAAGAAUUUAGAAAUUGGUGAAACAAUAACCUAGCACUGGCAACGUAUAUGAUAGUAAUACGAUCACGGAUCACUUCGGAUGAAAGGGAUAUUAUUUUCAAGGAAUAUUUCGUUACGGUGGGUACCGGGUAAUUGAGUUAACUGACCGAGAAGACGUGUACGGCAAAAGGUAAGUCGAGGCUUGUUGGAUGCGAACUUGGGUUAAGGAUAGAGACUAGCCAAGUUCGGGCCAACUUCGGAUCAGGUUCGGGUCAGAAACCUGUCGGAGACAAGGCACAGACGGGCCAGAAACGGGACUCUCUCUUCGCUGUUUCCCCCCUCAGCUAUUAUAAAAUUACGCUGCGAGACAUUCUCGAGAACGCAACGUCGAGCAGUACGAAAUUUUCACCACGUGCUUCCCCCUUUGCCCUCUCCCCGUUUCGCCAUAAUUUAGCAUAAAGUUUUCGAUACGUAUACAUUAUAUACAGGGUGGGCCAUGCGAACUGUUCUCUCAGAAACCAAGGGAAAUAUUAAUUUAACAAUUUUUCCAGUUUAAUGAAAUGAGAAAAUGAAUUAUGAGGUGUACGAAUAUUCUUUUGGUACUACUACUACAAAUUUUUGUUAUUUUUCGAAACGAAGCGCUGUAUUCAAUUCGCUUUACUUAGAUAGAUGUUGCCAAAUUUAAUAAUAUCUACUUGAAACAUUUUCUGUUAUUCCACAUAACUGACGCUACGAAUUAUAUCUUUCCUAAGAAAACCUUUAUAGAACACCCUAUACAUACAAGCGUGUUGAAGGCAAAUAAUAGAGGUUUUAAGUUACCUUUAAUCACGAGAAUUUAAAUUAAGCUAAGUUUAACUUAUGGUUGCCAUUAAAUCAAAGAUAUCCCUCAUAGUACGCAUCACUGUAAAUCGGAUUUAACUUCCAACCUUCCAAUUUUCCAACGAUUCGCGUCUAUACGAUCGCGAGUUCGAGAUCAUAUUUGUCGUCGUGGCAGGUUCCGUCGGCAAUGUUAACUUACAACAGUUCGAUCAUAUGGUAAUAAAAUCAAACCGCGUUUAGAGAACAACAGUUUUCGAAAUAUCGACAUUAUCGAUACACAGGUGGCGCCCUCGUCCCGAAUCAACAUAUUCCAUUAACGAAAUGGACAAUCUGUGUCUAUGCGUUCCGUAAAUCCGUUUUGACCGAUAUUUCGAUACACAUUGUGUAUCAGCCGCGACAUGAUUUAAUACUGGAAGAUGUUAAUUAAAAUCUCAACGCUAUAGGGCUGGCGAUUUUCUUUCUUGAUAAAUUAUAGGGCUUCGAGACACCCCUAUGAUCCGUGUGAAAUUAUUAAUUAUAUCGAUCAGGGCCAACCUAUAUUAUCCAUCCACCUGUAAUCGAUGAUGAUAAGUCGUAGCUGACUGAUCGGGAGUAAUUUAUGGCUGUUUAAUGUAACUUGAUAUUUUUCUUAUCGAGCGCGCGCGACCGCCUAAGUACAAGCCUUCGACGAUUCAACGCAGGAAGUUCCGACCUCGAUCUCUUCUUUAUUGGCUUCAAUAUUCUAACAUGAAAACUGAUCCUUCGAGGAAGCUGAAGGCAAAUAGAAUUACCGACUCAGAAUAGGAGAAAAAAGAAGGAAUCAAACAAAAGAAUAGAAUAACCCUUUGGACUUUAGACUAUUAGAUCACCAUUGAUAUGAUGAAAACACUAUUCUUCAACCUCUUCUUUCGAGAAGUUAUUUUAAGUAUUACUCGUUGAAGACUAAAACGGCGUAGACUGAAUUUUAAAUAAGUGUAAAAAGCUUUUUUGUGUCUAACUUAUGAACUUAUCAAAACCAAAAGAGAUGGUUCAUCUCAUGAAAUCAGGGUUCACAGGUCAGGAAAAUAAACUAAAAAUUAUAAGAAAAGUAUGAAUUAUAAAUUAUAUUAGAAAAGCGAUCUAACCUAUAAAAUAUCUAAGCUAGAACAAACUUAGAAUUGGUCAAGAAAAUAAUGGAACCAACUAUGUGCAAAAGGUUAAAAAAUGAAAUUUGUAUUUUACCUUAACCAAAAAAAGACUGAAGUUUAAGAAUCAAGGAUUGAAGGAGACAAAAUGACCCGCCCGACCGAAGGUAAGUAAACGAAGUUGAAAAAAAACAGGAUAUAGACGAAAAGAAAGAGAGAGAGAGAGAGAGAGAGAGAGAGAGAGAGAGGAAGAGACAGAGAAAGUACACAGGGGAAAAGAUAAACAGAAGAAAACAAUUUCGAGAAAAUGAGAAAACGGAGUAUCACGGAAAGAGUAGAUAGAGAGGAGCGGAAAGGGAAAGGACAGAGCGAAGAGGAACGAGAAGACUGCCGAUACGCAACUUGUCUGGUGGUACAGGCAUAGACUACGUUUACUUUAGAUCUGCAGUGCAUACAGAGAGUGCAGACAGGUUUUAUUAACCCCCUCUCGACCACUCCGCGAACGUGUAUCCCGGAUAUAUACGCUUUCCCUACGAGUUGCUUCCUCGAUGUUCAACCCGAAGCCACACGGCUAUAUACUUGCAAUCGAUCGUUGGCACGACGCCACUGCUAUUUCUUCUUCUUCUUCUUCUUCUUUUCUUUCUUUAUUUCUUCCCUCUUUUGCUUCUUCUACUUGUACUUCUUUUGCUUCUUAGUUUCUUUCAUCGUCUGCUUCUUUUACCCUUACUCCCACCACUUACUACUUCUCUUAUUCUCUUCCCUUUCCACGUUUCUGCACAACCAACGAUGGAUUCUUCCCCUUCUUCGCAGUAUCUGUGCAUUCCUUUCCCACGAGCUAUGAAUUUACUUUCGAUGAUAUUGUUCUUGUGCCGCUAGCACGCCCCCGAUAAAAAUCUAAAACCUUUUCUAGGGAACAUCAAGUUUAUCGUUGAUCGUCCUCGAUGCCGAGGUUGGUAACUGAAUUUUAAUGGGGAGUUUUAGGGGAUUCCACGAAGGGACGAUUCUGCUAAAACUCCCCAUUAAGCAUUCUUAGUCACCUAACCUAUCAAAGGGGCAACGUUAACGCAACAUCUCAUUUGCACUCUUUUUCAAUCAUUCCACUGACACGUCAUAUUUCUAAGCCUGAUAUAACCUUAAAAAUUCUAACCUUAAAAAUGUCAUUUGUUUCUUCAUAGCGAGAAACGCAAAGUGUGAGUGAAAUAGAAAGACAUAUUUAGCAACUUUGUAUCUCGAUAAAGAAAAAGCAGAAUAUUCCUUCAUACAAGAAGAAAAAAGCAUUUCCUUAUAUAAGAAAUAUAAUUUAUAGGUUAAUAAUAGUAAUUUCAGGUUAGGUAACACAAAUAACUAGUGCUAGAGAGCAAUCGUUUCAAAGCCAUUAAGAUAUACGAGGAACAACGGUGGCGAUGAAAAUAGUGUAUUUCUAGCGUGAAAUCAGAUUGUUUACAAUUUGAAAGAUAACCUAAAACGACAUUUUUGUACAUAAACUUUCCCCUUGUAUCGAUGUCUAGAAAGACACAAUGUAAAUAUCGUCUACUUUCGUCAACAAUCACUACAAUUAUUUAAAUUAUCCUAACGCUACGUUUGUUAACACAACCGUACCAGUAUUUCAAUUUAGGUUAGAGUUUCCGUAACUACAGCCGUGAAAACAGUAGUCGUUAUGUCAAUUAGCAUUGAAAAACUAGUCGUCGUUCUGAAGCGGUGUCGACAAUGGCGACGACGACGGCGACGCAAGGCAAACAGUCUCGCGUGAACAAAAACACCGCGCGCAAAGCAUGACACGCUGAAAGGAGGAUAAAUAUUUAGUCAGCAAAAGUGCUCAUAGAUACGUUUUCAACGCACUAAAAAUUACAUUUAAACGCAACCUGAACGAGGUAUUAAUGCCUCCUCUCCCGUCAGGUCUGGGGGCUAUCCUAUCGUUUAAUUGGCCAGUGUAAAUCACCGCGGGGACACAAAUAUUUUCUUCCAAUCGUUUCGCUUUAAUCGGGUGCGUGCACACCGCCGAUCUACCGGUUACUAUGACGACUUUUGAUUAAAGCACCGUUUCAAAUUGGCUUUGUGCGUUUGCACUUAACAAAAGCCUUUACAAUGGCCCCUCUCGCAACCAGAGUUUAAUAUAAUAGGUAUUAGUGAGAUGUUACGAGUGCUACUCGAAGGGGUUGGCAAUACCUCGGUAGGAGGUAUUCCCGGGGGUACCCAACUGUUCGAACUCGUCGAAGGGUUACGGUCGCUGAAAGAUUGGCGCAAAAGGAGAUGCAGUUCGGAAAAGGGACAAGGAGGGAAGAAAAUAUUGAAAGAAACAGUGUUGAAUAACAUGGUCGCGUAAGAGGGAAAGCACUGUGGUACGAAACGUGAGACGAAGAAAGAGACAAGCGUUAAGAGAGAAUAUAUAUAGGGUGAGUCAUUUAACACUGUCACUUACAGUAACUCACGAAAGUAUUAGCUUAUCCCAAAAGUUUCUUUCGUUUUAUAAGGAAAUAAUAGCUGCACAACAUUUUUUGUUUUAUAUUAUUUUGUUGAAUUAUGUAUGAUCCAUUUUAUUCUAUUGGAACAAUGCAUCUACUGUGCAUCUAUUGUUUCCUUAUAAAACGAAAGAAACUUUUGGGACAAUCUAAUAUUUGGGCACUCGUAGGAACGUAUUGUGAAUAUGUUACGAGUGUUAUAGAAAACAUUUUGAAAUUUCAAGAAGAGCAAGGAUGGUAAUAUGAAGUAUGAGGUACAUAGAGACAAAUAGAGGUUAGGAGAAGAAGAACAGUUUCAAACAGAAGAUUGUAUAGUAUCAAGGAUGAUUAGACUACUUAAAGAUAUAUGUCGAUAAUUAUUGAUUUUUAAUCGCAUAUAUCUUACUAAGUUUUAUUCAACAUUCAGAUAUUCUUUCUAGUCGCCAUUAAAAUCAUCAAGAUAACCUUCGUAUCUUUAUGAAAAAAAGCAAAAUAUUUCUUCACACUUUCACAUUUUCUUCAAGAAGAAAAAAGCAUUUCUUUAUAUAAGAAAAAUAAUUGACGAGCAAUUUCAGAUUAGGUAACUCAUAAUCAGUGCUAGAGAGCAAUCGUUUCAGAACUAUUAAGAUAUAUGAGGAACAACGGUGGUGAGAAAAAAAGUAAAAAACAAGAGUAGUGCAAAGAAAAGAUGGUAAAGAAAGACGCAGAAGGAAAUAUAUAUAUGUAUAUAUAUAUAUAUAUAUAAACUGGCACAUGUAAACGCAGAUAAGGAGGGAAUCGAAGGUAAAAAAGAAACACGAGAAACAAAAAGUAAAAUAAGAAGGAUGAAAAGAAUCUAAGAAAAUGAAGAUGAGUGAAAAUAGAAGUGGAGGAAGUGGGAAGAAAGAAAAGAAAAGCAAGACAUUUCUCUCUCCCUUUCUCCAAUUUUCAGACUACCAGCUGAACCUAAGGUCUUCUAUUUCUCAACCUGUUGAACUUCUCACCUACAUGACGCACGAUUUGUUUUCCCUGAACGUUACCACCGGAAUGCUCACUGGUAUUCUCUUGCCUGUUCUCGCUCGCACCAAGUGUAAAACAGGGAACAAAAUGGAAAUGGAUUAAAGCAGCCGUAAACGUCUAUAACGUCCAUUAGGUACAAAUCACAAUCGAACGAUUUCCAUGAAUGUUAACGACGCUAUUUUACAUAUUUCCGAUUCGAUCUAUUUACAAGCUCUUCCUUUGUUAUAGCAACAAACAUUCUCAUUUUACAGCCUUCGUAACAUCGUAAUUCGUACUCUGAGGCUGUAUUAUCUCUCAAGAUGCGACCAAUACCACAGCGAGUGUAAACAUGAAUUAACAACGAGACGCUGUCAACGCAAUUUUAUUCCGACCAUUUGAUAUAUCGAGGCGUGACACCACAGUGCGUUAAGAUAGCUGUCUGAUGAGAAAAAAAUUAUACAUUUGAUCGUUUUCGAUUAGGUCUGUUCCUUUAUUGAAAUGCUCGUAAUGGAAAAAGACACGAAGCUAAAGGAGGCGUCGGAAAGCAGGAAAAAUUUCGCUUCAGGCAAAUCAUAUACAGGGUGUUUGGUAACUGGUGGUACAAGCGGAAAGGGGGUGAUUCUACGCGAAAAAAGAAGUCGAAAAUAUAGAAUACAAAUUUUUCGUUCGAGGCUUUGUUUUCGAGAAAAUCGACUUUGAAUUUUCGCUCGGUACGCGUGCGGUACGUUAUAACGGAUCUCGCUAUAGAUCGUUGUCUCGAUAGAAAAAUUAAAGAAAAAAAAAUAAAAAACAAAUUUUUAUUCUAUAUUUUUGACUUCUUUUUUCGCGUAGAAUCAGCCCCUUUCUGCUGGUACCACCAGUUACCAACCAGCCUGUAUAUUGUAAAAUAGGUCACAAAUUCGGUGUGACCUAAAACCAAACGAAGUUCAGUCCGAGAGAAUCCUAGAUGGCGCAAACGAAGUGUGUCAAACUGUAGUCGCCCUGUGCCCGCGCGUUCGCCUCGCUAUGCUUCUUGCAUUCCGCGGUGUACUCUGCGCAUCGCUUUCUCUGGCUUCGUUCCUUUCACGCGCGUCUGCAUAUAUUUAUCGUUAAGUUACCUUUAUACAAACACCCCGGGCAAGAUAGAUCGCGCGCACAUCGUGAACAUCGCAAACGCGACCCUUUACUUGUGUAGUAAUGCUUACUGCUUGAGGGCGUAACGACCUGCCGGCAUAUCUGGACUGCGCAAUGAUAGCAGCUCCCCUAAAUGGAGUUGGCAGCUUCCCUCGGCCGUUUUCACGAUAAAGACGCGAAGUUGUUCCCAGAGUCUUCCUAGCAGACGGAGAAUUUCAUUAAGCCGGCGAUACUCGCCGAGUUCAGCAAGUUAAUGCGAGCCCUUAUUCUAACCAGCCGGCGUGAGCUUCGCCGUUGGAAUUUCUUCUAUAACGACGGUGGCCAACGCUAUGCUGCGGAUCCAUCGACAAACACCUAGUUCCUUUGCGUCACUUAACCACGCGACAAAACGCCGAAACCUCCCGAAGACUUUACCAACUUUCUUUAUUAAGCUCUUUCGACGAGUUGGAAUUUUCAGUUGGCUAGCUCGAUUCACAAUUUCCUUCUACGGAGAAGGACUCCAUCGUGCCACGAUGAAACUUCUUGUUUUGUAAUAAAAAAAAAAAAAAAAAAGAAG